rnacentral:rRNA from 1 species
CGGGACUCUUCGGAGUUCAGUGGCGGACGGGUGAGUAACGCGUGAGAAUCUGCCUUCUGGUCGGGGACAACCACUGGAAACGGUGGCUAAUACCGGAUGUGCCGAAGGGUAAAAGAUUAAUUGCCAGAAGAGGAGCUCGCGUCUGAUUAGCUAGUUGGUAGGGUAAAAGCCUACCAAGGCAUCGAUCAGUAGCUGGUCUGAGAGGAUGACCAGCCACACUGGGACUGAGACACGGCCCAGACUCCUACGGGAGGCAGCAGUGGGGAAUUUUCCGCAAUGGGCGAAAGCCUGACGGAGCAAGACCGCGUGAGGGAGGAAGGCUCUUGGGUUGUAAACCUCUUUUCUCAGGGAAGAACAAAAUGACGGUACCUGAGGAAUCAGCCUCGGCUAACUCCGUGCCAGCAGCCGCGGUAAUACGGAGGAGGCAAGCGUUAUCCGGAAUUAUUGGGCGUAAAGCGUCCGCAGGUGGCACUUCAAGUCUGUCGUCAAAGACUGGGGCUUAACCCUGGAAAGGCGGUGGAAACUGAAGCGCUAGAGUGCGGUAGGGGUAGAGGGAAUUCCCGGUGUAGCGGUGAAAUGCGUAGAGAUCGGGAAGAACAUCGGUGGCGAAAGCGCUCUACUGGACCGCAACUGACACUCAGGGACGAAAGCUAGGGGAGCGAAUGGGAUUAGAUACCCCAGUAGUCCUAGCCGUA